AUGUAGGUUUAUUGACUAGGAUGCUGAUGGGGUAUUCAUGGGUUUCUAAGGGAUAGAAGCCCUAGAAUGAUGACACCCAGUGCUCCUUUGAUCUGGUAGUUACACACCUUACUGGUCAUAGGUCCACCAACCCAGCAGAAAAGAAAGUACCAAUAAGCUGUUUCCACUCGAACAGAUAAUUCUACCUUCUGAAAGUAUCCUAGGAGCUGAGGAUGAAGACAGAGAUGAAUAAUGCAGGAGCCCUACUUCUAGUGCUGGGAAACAGAAGAAAUAAGUCCUACACAUGUAACACAGGACAAAAGUGACAUGGUUAAAGGCACAGACUCGAGCCAGACUACCUGACUUCAAGCUUAACUUUGCUUUUCACUAAUAAACAAAUUGCUUAAUCUC